rnacentral:rRNA from 1 species
UGGGGGAAUAUUGCACAAUGGGCGCAAGCCUGAUGCAGCCAUGCCGCGUGUGUGAAGAAGGCCUUCGGUUGUAAAGCACUUUCAGCGAGGAGGAAGGUGGUGGACUUAAUACGUUCAUCAAUUGACGUUACUCGCAGAAGAAGCACCGGCUAACUCCGUGCCAGCAGCCGCGGUAAUACGGAGGGUGCAGGCGUUAAUCGGAAUUACUGGGCGUAAAGCGCACGCAGGCGGUUUGUUAAGUCAGAUGUGAAAUCCCCGGGCUCAACCUGGGAACUGCAUUUGAAACUGGCAAGCUAGGAGUCUCGUAGAGGGGGGCUAGAAUUCCAGGUGUAGCGGUGAAAUGCGUAGAGAUCUGGAGGAAUA